rnacentral:lncRNA from 1 species
UGGAUUUGAAUACCCCUGUGGAGGACCCUUACGCACAACAAGGUUAUUCGAAUUUCGGUUACGGUGGCGAGCAAAGCUUUGUACAGCAGGAGUGUUAUCCAAACCAGAGUUACGGUUGUGAACAGAGCUUUGAACAUCAAGUCUAUUCGAAUCUCGGUGACGAUGGUGAGCCGGAGGAUGUGUCUACCUUUUCGUCACGUAAAGAGUUGGUGCGUUGGGUACAAGACACGGCAAAAGACAAUGGUUACCUCAUUGUGACAAAGAGGUCGAAUAAAAGAGGAGAGAAUUACAAGAUUUGGUUUCAAUGUACUUUUGGUGGGGAGCAU